rnacentral:rRNA from 1 species
UACGGAGGGUGCAAGCGUUAAUCGGAAUUACUGGGCGUAAAGCGCACGCAGGUGGUCAAUUAAGUCAGAUGUGAAAGCUCCGAGCUUAACUUGGGAAUUGCAUCUGAAACUGGAUGGCUAGAGUCUUGUUGAGGGGGGUAGAAUUCGAUGUGUAGCGGUGAAAUGCGUAGAGAUGUGGAGGAAUACCGGUGGCGAAGGCGGCCCCCUAGACAAAAAAUGACGCUCAGGUGCGAAAGCGUGGGGAGCAAACAGG